rnacentral:snoRNA from 1 species
AUUCCAUGAUGAGGACAUUCACAUGUAUCAGUGUAAAUGCUCCCAUGCUUCGAAAAUGGCUCCUGCUUUCUGCUAUUGGAAAUUGGAAAUCUUUCCUGCAUU